UACGGAGGGGGCUAGCGUUGUUCGGAAUUACUGGGCGUAAAGCGCGCGUAGGCGGACCUGCAAGUCGGGGGUGAAAGCCCGAGGCUCAACCUCGGAACUGCCUUCGAUACUGCGGGUCUCGAGUCCGGGAGAGGUGAGUGGAAUCCUAGUGUAGAGGUGAAAUUCGUAGAUAUUAGGAAGAACACCAGUGGCGAAGGCGGCUCACUGGCCCGGUACUGACGCUGAGGCGGCGAAAAGCGUGGGGAGCAAACAGG
rnacentral:rRNA from 1 species